rnacentral:lncRNA from 1 species
GUUUUCUUACAUUAAAACAAUAAUUUUGCACAUUUCCUUGCCUUUAGAUAUAUUAAAGAUUUAACUGACUCUAGCUUAUUAAAUGAUGCUGUAUAUUUUAUAAGCUCUUCUACACUACGUAUACAUUAAGAAAUUAUCCAUAAUUCAAUCACAUACAUUUUAUAGGAGUUGAAACGUUAAAUAAGAGUCUGAUCUAUUCCAGGAACCUUAUAUCUCCAACAGACAGGAAUUCUACAGGAAAGAAGACUUCCUUCUAACUCUCUGUCUUCUACCAUUUCCUUUUCUUCCUUUUGGUUGAAAGAACUACAGAAGUUCUUAAAGGGAGCCAAAGAAUAAAGGAUACAGCUGUGUACUGGACAAGGUUAAAAAUCUGCCUGGGGUGCAGUUGAAAGCAAUUUAAUAUCCUUUGUCUGCCUGAGUCAAGCAGAACAAAAUCUGUGACAUUUCAACCCAGCUGAGAUUCUGAGGAGAUUAGACUGAGCAACACUAUGGUGGACAGGAUUUUUUUUCCAGUUCUUGAUAUGAAUCGGAGAAAUAAGAGUACUGUUCCUCUUGAAGCUUCAAAUGUAAUGCAUUGAUCUUUUUCACCUUUGCUACAGUUGAAUGUUUCCCUACACAUAGAGGAAUCUCACAGGAAGUGAUGCAACUGUUUUGUGCUAAAAUGGAAGCUGUAAUACAAAAGGCAACAUUAGUUCCAGAAUGGAGUCAAACAGGUUACACCAAGAAUGACUGCUGUGGAAGGAUGAUGCAGAGAAGAAAUUAACAAGCUGCUCAGUCUUGUCCUAUCAUCAUCUGUCGGGGUUCUGACUGCCCUCCUCCAAGGAACCAAACUCCUGGGUUGUUCCCUCAAGUCCAGGCUGGAAGCCUGAGAAUUUCUCUCUGGUAUUUUGUGUACACCUGUCAAAAGCUGAGAAAAAAGAGCUUCAGAAGGAUCCCACUCAAGCUCUGUGGACAGCUAAAAACCUGACCAAGCAUUCCAUUGGAGGUAGAGAGAGAUGAGUCUGCUGUUCUACACAGGAAAAUCAGCAGGAGAUUCAGCCAGAGACUCUGAGGCCAUGAGAGACACUGAACAUGCAUAAGUUGAACUGAUAGUUGUACAGCCUUGAGCAUAAACAGGAGAGAGGAAUUUGUUUUCUGUCAGAAUUGUAUUCUUCGGGAGUAGCAUAGAGAACUUCUGGUUUUCAGAAGAGAAUAACGUUCUUUUUCUUCCAACUGCUGCUUCUUCUGUUUUUGAUUGAAAAUAACUUAUUACCUAUUUUCAGAAGCA